UACCCCUCACACCCACGCAUACGCCCCUCACUCACCUUCCUCCGCGCUCACUCCCUCUUCACACAACACACACGUGCAACUUUUCCCCUCACCCACGCCGAGAGAGAAGAGAAGAACGGAGGAAGGAGAAGCUGCCCAGCCGCCGUCGCCGUCCAUGGAGCUGUGAGGAGCACCGCUGCUAUCGCGCAUCAGAGGAGAGGAAGAGAGAUCGGGAAGAGAGAGAAGGACAGGGGAGAAGGAAGCACGCGACGGAGAAAGGGGCGCUGCUUGCGCCGCUACACCUCGUCGUCGUCGCUGUUGGGGCUGCUGCGGGGUGUGCCAUCGCCGUCGAACUUGGUGGCUAACAUAUAAUGGAACAAGAUAUAGCUCAUCAAUUUUCUCUAACCGGGCUCCACCUGGGCAGCUUCUACUAUUGAAUUUCAUUGGAGGAGCUACCAAUCCUGGAAUGUUAUCAAAGAAAACAAGGUUCAAUAAUAAAGAGAAUGUGAAUGGAUCAAAUGCAAGGAAAGAAAAUCCUUUGAUUAUAUGGAAAAUGGUCCUAAUUUUGUUGGAUAUGAAGCCCCAAACCUUGAUGAUGGAGAAAAAGUCAGUGGGAUUAUUAAGAAUGAUGAAGCUGCUGCUGAUGAGGUGGACUAAUCAAUUAAUCAUUAAAAUGUUAUAAUAAGUUCAUAAAAUUAAAUUUUAAGUAUUUCUUGAUGUCUUUUGUACUUUUUUUUAAGGGAGUCUAUCCGAUAUUAUAUGUAAUGGAUAAAGUACAUCCUAUUUUGAUUUGUGUUGUUUGAAUUAAAACAUAUCUAGUUUAUAAUGUAAA